rnacentral:lncRNA from 1 species
UCGGAUUCGUUAACCACUGCGCCACAACGGGAACUCCUGAACACUGUCUUUCCAAAAGGGAUUCAACAGCCUGGGUUUUACCAUUUUCAAAUCUCUCCUCAGCCUGGACCGAGUAUAAACCCUGAGAUCACCUGCCAUCAUCACCCCUCUGCUCAGCACUGUGGACCCCAGUCAGCAAAACUCCCAGCAAAACUGCUCUGCUCCAAACAGUUUUCUGAACAUUCCACAAUUUCAGGUGGGUUUGGUGCCUGUGUCUUCCAUGGGAGCCUUGCAGCCUGGGGCACUGUGUCCUGGUAGGACCAGCAAGUGCCUGGCUACUCUGAACAAAAUAUCACUUAAUAAGACCCCUGUUUACCUCGCCUUGUAACAGCGAUCUACAGACGGACACCCACAGGUCCAACUCCAGGUUCGGCCCUCGCUAAGCCUGCCUUCCCAUAUUCUCGCUCUGCUUUUUCUAUGACUUUAGGUUUGCCUGCCUCAGUUAACUCUGAUCUCCAUGAGGACAGAAUCUGUCUUGAAGUCUUUGACCCCCGGGCGCUAGCCUUCAGCACUUGGGACGGCUUCUCAUCAUCACCACGAUUGUGUAAGGGAGCAGCCAUCACUGCUGGAGUUUGAAGGGACCGAUAAGCAUACAAAGCAGAGAGACAGACAAAGUAAUGGGUCAGCCAAAAUGUGAAUGGAAGCCGAAUUGGAGAACAAGACUCCGAGGAGCAGCAACCCAGGGUCUCCGGAUGCUCUUGCCUCCAAGUUGGUCCUAGAGGAGCCCCCUCAACAGAUAUUCGGGGUCUUCAGAAUGGAUGCUGACAUCCCUCCACUUAUCCAGACAAGGUCUCACUCAUGGCAUAAACUACGAAAACGGUAGAUAGCUAUUCCCCUGUGGGGAAUGAAGGUGGGUAGCCUAUGAGUAAUGUUAAAUUAAUGUUCCUUCCACACAUUUAUUGAGGGCCUGUUAUUUCCUAGGCAGUUCUGGAUGUUUAGGAGACGCACAUAGAAUAGAGAUUCCCCAGGGAAUUGACGGCAUGGAAGAGGACGUGACCACGUCUAUCAGUCAGUGCACCGGAGACUGAAAUGUAGGUUGCAUCGGCGGCGUGAGCCAGGUGCCGGGACAGCUUGGUUGGGGCAAGGAGUUCUGAGCUGGGGAGCUGAGGGAACGUUCUUGGAGUUGGCCCUUUAGCGGAGGCUUCAACACCUCUAUCUAGUACAGGUGGCGACGUUACAGACCCAGCCUACAUGAGUGACUGAAUCCUACCCUGCCAGGCAUCCCAACAGCCUUCUUUGCGUUUCCAGGACAGACAUGUGUCUAGGAGUCAAAAGCAUUUUGUUCGAGCUGUGCGGUGUGCCACACCCAAUGCAGAGACCACUCUCCAAGGCUGAGGUGUCAUAUGCUGCUAAGGCUCAAGGCACUGAUGGCCUCUUCCUUCUGCCCCCCCCCCCGACCAGCCUUCCUGACCCCACAUUAUGUCUUAUUCUUGGCACCUGCUAUACUCAGGUUUCUUAUAGACAGAGACUGAUGGGGUUCAAGUGGACUCAGGUCCGAUUACCCAUCUGCAACAUGGAAUCUGGAAGAGGGAGAAACUGGUACAGACAGCCUGCCUUGAGAGACCAGGCCUGCCGAGGUCCGCUUGCCACAUUUGGGUAGGAAUUGCAAGAGAGGUACAAGUGUGCCUGACCUAUGAGGCCACCUCCUGGUGCACGUGGCUUAGCAAACUCCUCGAAUAUUGACCAGUUCAGUUGACCAGUUCUGCCAUGGCUGGGAAAGGUGGCACUGAGACUAACACUUGUACCCAUAAGGAGCAGAAAAGAAAUAUUCCUGUGUGUUUCAGCCUCCAUGUGUGAAACAAUAGAUGUUUGCAGACCUGCCAGUGUCCUGUAAUCAGAAGGAUGGCAAAUGGGCAGAUGGUGAGGGGGGGAUGAGCCUGGGAAUGCAGGGUUAGCUAGAGAGCAAAGUCUCUCUGAAACGUAUUAUCUUUUUUCAUUUAUAUUUCACACAUGUUACCAGUCUCUUUUUAUAAAUAAGAACACAGAGGCUCAGGAGUCCCCUUGUGGCACAGUGAGCCAAGGAUCUGGCGUUGUCACUGCUGUGGCUCAGGUAGCUGCUGUGGCACAGGUUCAGUCCCUUGCCAGGAGAACUCCAUGUGCAGCAGGCAUGGCCCAAAUAAACUGAGCUCAGAAAGGUUAAGAGAAUUAUCCCAAGUCACACAGCUUAGAAUUGUUGAAACCAGCCAUCAAGUUGUUUUUUUUCCUAGUUCUACUUUCUUUCACUCACUUGGGAUUGGCUUCAGUGCUGCAUAAUUUAAAAUGUUAUUCACAUAAGUGAGGUAGAAUUAUCACCAUUUAAUAGAUAUGAUUUUCGUCACUGCUACUCAAAAUUGAUCUAAUUUUAAAACCUUUGGAACUUUGAAGUGCUACUAUCUAAAUACACCUAAGUGUCUUAGAUACUUUGGAACUUUUAUUAUAUGCAAGUCCUCUAAAAUGUGGUAUUCUUUUGUUAAAAAAUGACUUGGGAGUCUUUAUUCAAAAUACGGAAAACCUUCAGCAUUUGAAGCUUAAAAGCAAAUUGCAAUUACUGAAAACAAAGCUUGCAAAUAGGAAGAUGUUAAAAUGCAUCCUUACAAAAACAAGGGGAGAUCUGAAAAAAUAAAAAAGAAUAGUUAGAGCUCAAAGGGGGUACUAUAUUUAACUUUCAAAUGUGAAAAUUGUUUGAUUUGAGAGAAAAAAAUCUUUUGACAUAAGUCCUAUUUUUAAUUGGAUAAGUUGAUAUUCUGUUCUGAAAUGGAAGAAGAUUGAAAAAAAGCCUAUAAUUUUGCAGCUCUAAAUUUAGCAAAAUAUUCAAACAAAAUCAAAAUAUAAUCAAUUUAUUUCAUAUAGUUUUUCUUAUAAACAUGUGUACAUUGUAGAAAAGCACUCUGCAUGGAGGCAAACUGACUAUUUCUAAAAAUACUUAUGCCAACAUUUUUACAUAUUUCAGUAUAAAAAUGGAAUGGAGCAUAUUUCUCAUUUAACUGAAUUUCCUUUAAACUUAACUGGAGUAUCUCUUUACCUAUAGCAAGAGAGUUUCCCAGUUAAAAUUAUAAUGGUCUGCUGAAAAUAAACAAUUUUUAGGAACCCAUUAUCAAGUUUAUCAUCCAUACAGUGCAUCUUUGAAAAAGAUCGGGGAUAAUUUUAUAAAAAAAAAACUGUAAGACUUAAAAACACCUUCUUCAGAAGAUAUCACUGACGCUGAAAUAAAGUCAGAUGUAUAUUUGAUUAAAGAAUGUGAAUAGCACCAAGAAAAAUGAUUUUAAAUAUUCUUACUUUUAAUAUUAGAUAAUAAAAAUGUAAAGAGAUUUUUAAUGCUUUCCUUGGAAUACAUGAACCCUUGAUAUUUUAAAUUUUUAGAAAGAUUUUUUUUGAAAAUAGUUUCAAUAUAGAAGUUUUCAUAGGUCUACAAAUAUAAUAAAGUCUUUCUUCAUAUAUAUUUAUGUAAACAUAUAAGUAUGUGUGCUACAUAUAUAUGUGGUAUUUAUAUGUACUUGUAGAUAUGUGUGUAUGCUUUUAGAAUGCCCUUUGGAAUAUUUCAGAAACUGGAAAAUAUGAAAUAUCGUCUCUUUAGGUGGGAGCUCUCAUGGCAGGCAAACCAGAUCAAACCUCCACCAUAAGUAGCAGUGUCUGGAGGUAAGUUUCCCUUGCCAGAGACAUCUCCUUAUCUCUCCUCUCUCACUAUCUCACUGUCUACCAUCUGUCAAUCGUUUAUCUUCAGUGUAUUUCUCCUUUUGGGGAAAUGACUGUAUAGUAAUGUUUAUUAUAAAAGUAGUAGAAUAAAAGUAACCAUUAGUCAAAAAAAAAAAA